GUGUGUGUGUGGAUGGUGUUCAGCACCAGGGACAGGUUUGUGUGUGUGUGUAUGGAUGGUGUUCAGCACCAGGGACAGGUUGUGUCAUAAC
rnacentral:pre_miRNA from 1 species